rnacentral:rRNA from 1 species
GACGAACGCUGGCGGCGUGCUUAACACAUGCAAGUCGAACGAGGUCCACGGUGUAGCAAUACACCUGAAGACCUAGUGGCGAACGGGUGCGUAACACGUGAGGAACUUGUCCCGGUCUCUGGGAUAACAGUUGGAAACGACUGCUAACACCGGAUGACGUCGGAGCAUCGCAUGGUGCGCUGACGAAAGGGUUACUGGAUCGGGAGAGCCUCGCGGCCUAUCAGCUUGUUGGUGGGGUAACGGCCCACCAAGGCAUCGACGGGUAGCUGGUCUGAGAGGAUGAUCAGCCAAACUGGGACUGAGACACGGCCCAGACUCCUACGGGAGGCAGCAGUGGGGAAUCUUGCGCAAUGGGCGAAAGCCUGACGCAGCAACGCCGCGUGCGGGAUGAAGGCUCUCGGGUUGUAAACCGCUUUCAGCAGGAACGAAAAUGACGGUACUUGCAGAAGAAGGUGCGGCCAACUAUGUGCCAGCCGCCGCCGUAA